rnacentral:rRNA from 1 species
ACUCCUGCGGGAGGCAGCAGUGGGGAAUUUUGGACAAUGGGCGAAAGCCUGAUCCAGCAAUGCCGCGUGUGUGAAGAAGGCCUUCGGGUUGUAAAGCACUUUUGUCCGGAAAGAAAUCCUUGGCUCUAAUACAGUCGGGGGAUGACGGUACCGGAAGAAUAAGCACCGGCUAACUACGUGCCAGCAGCCGCGGUAAUACGUAGGGUGCGAGCGUUAAUCGGAAUUACUGGGCGUAAAGCGUGCGCAGGCGGUUUGCUAAGACCGAUGUGAAAUCCCCGGGCUCAACCUGGGAACUGCAUUGGUGACUGGCAGGCUAGAGUAUGGCAGAGGGGGGUAGAAUUCCACGUGUAGCAGUGAAAUGCGUAGAGAUGUGGAGGAAUACCGAUGGCGAAGGCAGCCCCCUGGGCCAAUACUGACGCUCAUGCACGAAAGCGUGGGGAGCAAACAGGAUUAGAUACCCGAGUAGUCCCAUG